rnacentral:rRNA from 1 species
GAGAGGAGCUGUCCUUAGUACGAGAGGACCGGGAUGGACGGACCGCUGGUGCAUCUGUUGGAUACCAGAUCCAUGGCAGAGUAGCCAAGUCCGGCAGGGAUAAACGCUGAAGGCAUCUAAGCGUGAAGCCCCCCUCAGGAUGAGAUAUCCCAUUCAUAGAGAAUGUAAGACCCCUUAGAGACUAUGAGGUAGAUAGGGCAUGGGUGUAAGUGCAGAGAUGCACUGAGCUGAAUGUCACUAAUAGGUCGAGGGCUUAUCCG